CAUAUAUAUAUAUAUAUAUAUAUAUAUAUAUAUAUAUAUAUAUAUAUAUAUAUAUAUAUAUAUCACAAAAUAUAUUAUUUUUUUUCAUUAGAAUAUUGGUGAUAGAUUAGAUGCAAUCACGAAAAAGGUAUAUCAAUAAGUGAUGACUUUGUGUGUCACAAAAAGAAAGUUUUAUUUUGGGUUAAAAUUUUGGUAAUUGACAUGGCCAUCAUAAUUAUUAAUACAUUGAUGGAAAAAUUAAUUAUCAGCAAGAGUCAUCAUAUAUAUUAUUAUUUUGUGAUUGUUCAAAAAAUACAUCACAAAUUACUAUCUUUUGUGAUUAUUUUUAAAAACCGUCAUAAAGUUUCAUCAUGUAUUCUUAUUUUUUAAUAGUAUUAAUCAUCACGAAAGUAUUCCACGUUUGCGUGAUUGUCAAAAUCACUAUGAAAUGCUUUCAUGAUCAGUGGCGGAACCAGAACGAUUUUGUAGGGGAGUCAAAAUUUUUAAACCAAGCGAUCGGAACACCGCCGACUGACCCCCACAGCCCCCACCCCCUGUUCCGCCUGGACCGGCCUCCCUAUCGGAGUCAGAUGCGACGACCAGAGUACCGCUGACUGUCCUCCCACCGCCCAAGUCCCCCUGUUCCGCCUAGACCGCCGGCCUCCCUACCGGGGUCAACCGCCCCCGCCCGUCCGCCCCCUAGUUCCGCCCUUGUUCAUGAUGAGGGCGUACAAGACAGUCUCCGAUCCAUGAUAACUAAUGUCAUAACAAAAACCCUUCGUGAUGAAUUUUUGAAUCUAUGUGAUAAAUUUGAGCCAUCACAAAAAACUAUAUUUUUGUAGUGAUAUAAUAUUUGGCUAUAUGAGCAAGUUUAUUUAGAAGUGAAUGCUAAAUAUAUAUACACAUAAUUUUAGUUGAAAUAAUAAGUAAUCUGAUAAUUAAUAAGGUAGCGGUUUGAGAUAUAUAUGAUGAUAAUCAAGAAUAGGGCGGGGUAUUUCUUUGUAUCAUCACAAAGAUUCUUAGAUUUGCUUGUCAUGCACAGCCAUGGAGUUAUUCGUCGACUGUCACUACAUAUGGCCCCAUAUCAGACUUUCAUGUACCGGCUUGUAGAAAAAUUACCAACCUUUUAUAUAUUAAUGUGACCUUUCAAGUUUUUAUAAAAUUUCAUCCUAUAUAUAUACCCAAAAUAUAUUAAUUGUUUUAAUGUGAACCUUGAGUUUCCAUUAAAAUUUUCUAAUGAUGGUAGAUUUUGUCCCAGCCAAAUUGAUCAAAAGUACAUAAAUUAGAAUAAAUAACAAGUCAAAUUACCUUUUCUUUUUUCGAUCCUUUAUCUGAUUGGUCAGAAAAAUAAAUAAAAAGAAUUUCAUCAAACUUUAAUGGAAGACCAAGGCCAAUAUUGAAACAUUUGAAACGUUUGGGUUAAAAUUGAGAUUUUGUGAAAACUUGAACAGCGCAAAAUAAAUUAUGUUUUUAAUACUUAAUAAUAUCACUGUCACAUCUUAGACCAUUCCUAACCCAUCACAACCAGAUCGAAAAAAAUAAAUAAUAUCAAAAAGGUUAAAAAUUCAAGCACAAGGACUAUGGGUGAGAACUAAAGAAAGUCUAGAAGCUAGCAGCUAACAUUUGAACCAGCGUAAUAUAAACUUUAUAUAACAUUUUAAUUUAGAUUGUAUAUUUUAUGAGGUAAUUUUUUUGUAGUUGAGAUAACAUUUUUCCCCACCUUGACUAAUAUUUCUUACUGGUCACUUUAUAUUGUCAGAGAUUUUUUUUUUAUUAUUAAAGAAAUAUAUAUAAUGAAUUAAAACUAAUCAAAUUAUAACAUCGAUAAUAGAUAUUUACUGGGUGUCAAGAAAAUUUAAAUAAUUCAUUAUUAACUAUUAAAAAUUAUCGUGAUUAAAUGUUUAUAUAUUAAUUACUCCAUUUUUUUUUGUCUAUCUCUCUCUAUAAACACGCCCUUUCAUUCCUUGAUGUUGCUUCAUGUAAUUAGGAUUUGCCAUUUGGUCUUUAAACAGAGAGAGAGAGAUGGAGAGGGAGUAUAAAUGCAUUUAUAUACAUGAAACACAAACAAAAAAAAAAGAUUGAAGAAGCAUCCAUAUUUAAUGAUAUCAUGUGAUCAUGUCCAAGAUAAAGAGAGAAUAAGCUAUUAAGUGUACAUGAUUUCAUAAUUAAGGUUGUCACAGCCCACACAUAAAAGAAAGAGAUUACUCAAAUACAUCUCUCUGUUUCUUUUUUCACAAAUCAAAGCCAAAUUAAAGAAGUACUCAACAUAUAUAUAUAUAUAUAUAACAUGUAAUGAACUCGAUAUACUCCAUUUACAUGCUCUUUUUUUGAUAUUUAUGUAGACUCGACAGAUUUGGGAGAAAGGGCAGUUACGUUUCUUGCCGGCGGCAUGGACUUGGAUCUCUUAAACCAUGCAACUCCGUCCGACGACCGGUGAAACUUACACCGGAAAGAUCCUUGAUGUGUUGUUGGGGAGCACAAACACUGCCCUUUUGGUGAACUUACAGGUGCUGAUGAUGACCCCCCACCUUCUUUAGGAGAUGAAGAUGUUGUAACAUUGAUUUUACCAUGUUUAGGAGAUGAAGAUGUUGUAACACUGAUUUUACCAUGAGAAGAGGCCAUAUAUAUAUAUAUAUAUAUAUAUACUUGUAUAUUUUUAUUAUAAUAUAAUAUUCCCUCUCCAAAAACUCAAAACUAGCUAGAGAGAGAGAGAGAGUUGAUCAGUUUUUGUGUAGUGAUGAAGAAGGCUAGCUCUAAAUGGAAAAAGU
rnacentral:lncRNA from 1 species